rnacentral:rRNA from 1 species
UACGGAGGGUGCAAGCGUUAUCCGGAUUCACUGGGUUUAAAGGGCGCGUAGGCGGCCAGCACACGUCAGUUGUGAAAUCUCCGAGCUUAACUCGGAAAGGUCAACUGAUACUGUGCGGCUAGAGUGCGGAAGGGGCAACUGGAAUUCUUGGUGUAGCGGUGAAAUGCGUAGAUAUCAAGAGGAACACCUGCGGCGAAGGCGGGUUGCUGGGCCGACACUGACGCUGAGGCGCGAAAGCCAGGGGAGCGAACGGG